UACGGAGGGGGCUAGCGUUGUUCGGAAUUACUGGGCGUAAAGCGCUCGUAGGCGGCUUUGUAAGUUAGAGGUGAAAGCCCGGGGCUCAACUCCGGAAUUGCCUUUAAGACUGCAUCGCUAGAAUUGUGGAGAGGUAAGUGGAAUUCCGAGUGUAGAGGUGAAAUUCGUAGAUAUUCGGAAGAACACCAGUGGCGAAGGCGACUUACUGGACAGAUAUUGACGCUGAGGUGCGAAAGCGUGGGGAGCAAACAGG
rnacentral:rRNA from 1 species